rnacentral:rRNA from 1 species
UAAAAAAAGGUAAGCUACUAAGAGCGAAUGGUGGAUGCCUUGACUGGUAAAGGCGAUGAAGGACGUACUAGACUGCGAUAAGCUACGGGGAGCUGUCAAGAAGCUUUGAUCCGUAGAUUUCCGAAUGGGGCAACCCAAUGUAUAGAGAUAUACAUUACCUAUAUAGGAGCGAACGAGGGGAAUUGAAACAUCUUAGUACCCUCAGGAAAAGAAAUCAAUAGAGAUUGCGUCAGUAGCGGCGAGCGAAAGCGCAAGAGGGCAAACCCAGUGCUUGCACUGGGGGUUGUAGGACUGCAAUGUGCAAGAGCUGAGUUUAGCAGAACAUUCUGGAAAGUAUAGCCAUAGAGGGUGAUAGUCCCGUAUGCGAAAAACAAAGCUUAGCUAGCAGUAUCCUGAGUAGGGCGGGACACGAGGAAUCCUGUCUGAAUCCGGGUCGACCACGAUCCAACCCUAAAUACUAAUACCAGAUCGAUAGUGCACAAGUACCGUGAGGGAAAGGUGAAAAGAACUGAGGUGAUCAGAGUGAAAUAGAACCUGAAACCAUUUGCUUACAAUCAUUCAGAGCACUAUGUAGCAAUACAGUGUGAUGGACUGCCUUUUGCAUAAUGAGCCUGCGAGUUGUGGUGUCUGGCAAGGUUAAGCAAACGCGAAGCCGUAGCGAAAGCGAGUCUGAAUAGGGCGCUUAGUCAGAUGCUGCAGACCCGAAACGAAGUGAUCUAUCCAUGAGCAAGUUGAAGCUAGUGUAAGAACUAGUGGAGGACUGAACCCAUAGGCGUUGAAAAGCCCCGGGAUGACUUGUGGAUAGGGGUGAAAGGCCAAUCAAACUUCGUGAUAGCUGGUUCUCUCCGAAAUAUAUUUAGGUAUAGCGUUGUGUCGUAAUAUAAGGGGGUAGAGCACUGAAUGGGCUAGGGCAUACACCAAUGUACCAAACCCUAUCAAACUCCGAAUACCUUAUAUGUAAUCACAGCAGUCAGGCGGCGAGUGAUAAAAUCCGUCGUCAAGAGGGAAACAACCCAGACUACCAGCUAAGGUCCCUAAAUCUUACUUAAGUGGAAAACGAUGUGAAGUUACUUAAACAACCAGGAGGUUGGCUUAGAAGCAGCCAUCCUUUAAAGAAAGCGUAAUAGCUCACUGGUCUAGUGAUUUUGCGCGGAAAAUAUAACGGGGCUAAAGUAAGUACCGAAGCUGUAGACUUGCACACAACUUAGAUUAUUUAAGUUUAGAAUAUGAGAAACUAAGUUAUAUGUUUAGUUAUAUUUUUACUGAUUUUUAUAGAGUAAAGAUAGAAAUAAAACUUAGUAAAAUCAGUAAAAAUAUUCUUAGGCUAAAGUUAAGUAGUUUAAGUUGUGUGCAAGUGGUAGGAGAGCGUUCUAUUUGCGUCGAAGGUAUACCGGUAAGGAGUGCUGGAGCGAAUAGAAGUGAGCAUGCAGGCAUGAGUAGCGAUAAUUAAUGUGAGAAUCAUUAACGCCGUAAACCCAAGGUUUCCUACGCGAUGCUCGUCAUCGUAGGGUUAGUCGGGUCCUAAGUCGAGUCCGAAAGGGGUAGACGAUGGCAAAUUGGUUAAUAUUCCAAUACCAACAUUAGUGUGCGAUGGAAGGACGCUUAGGGCUAAGGGGGCUAGCGGAUGGAAGUGCUAGUCUAAGGUUGUAGGAGGUUAUACAGGCAAAUCCGUAUAACAAUACUCCGAGAACUGAAAGGCUUUUUGAAGUCUUCGGAUGGAUAGAAGAACCCCUGAUGCCGUCGAGCCAAGAAAAGUUUCUAAGUUUAGCUAAUGUUGCCCGUACCGUAAACCGACACAGGUGGGUGGGAUGAGUAUUCUAAGGCGCGUGGAAGAACUCUCUUUAAGGAACUCUGCAAAAUAGCACCGUAUCUUCGGUAUAAGGUGUGGUUAGCUUCGUACUAGGAUUUACUCCGAAAGCGAAGAAAC